rnacentral:rRNA from 1 species
GAAACUGAGGAUAAUACUGGAUAGGCAAUUAUUCCUGCAAUGGUUUUUUGUUUAAAUGUUUUUUCGCCUAAGGAUGGGUCUGCGGCCGAUUAGGUAGUUGGUUAGGUAAUGGCUUACCAAGCCGUUGAUCGGUACGGGUUGUGAGAGCAAGAGCCCGGAGAUGGAACCUGAGACAAGGUUCCAGGCCCUACGGGGUGCAGCAGGCGCGAAACCUCCGCAAUGUGAGAAAUCGCGACGGGGGGAUCCCAAGUGCCAUUCUUAACGGGAUGGCUUUUCAUUAGUGUAAAGAGCUUUUGGAAUAAGGGCUGGGCAAGACCGGUGCCAGCCGCCGCGGUAACACCGGCAGCUCUAGUGGUAGCAGUUUUUAUUGGGCCUAAAGCGUCCGUAGCCGGUUUAAUAAGUCUCUGGUGAAAUCCUGUAGCUUAACUGUGGGAAUUGCUGGAGAUACUAUUAGACUUGAGACCGGGAGAGGUUAGAGGUACUCCCAGGGUAGAGGUGAAAUUCUGUAAUCCUGGGAGGACCGCCUGUUGCGAAGGCGUCUAACUGGAACGGUUCUGACGGUGAGGGACGAAAGUUAGGGGCGCGAACCGGAUUAGAUACCCGGGUAGUCCUAACCGUAAACGAUGCGGACUUGGUGUUGGGGUGGCUUUGAGCUGCUCCAGUGCCGAAGGGAAGCUGUUAAGUCCGCCGCCUGGGAAGUACGGUCGCAAGACUGAAACUUAA